GUGAAGCGGCAAAAGCUCAAAUUUGAAAUCUAGCACUUUCAGUGUUCGAGUUGUAAUUUGAAGAAGGUAACUUUGGAAUUGGCUCUUGUCUAUGUUCCUUGGAACAGGACGUCACAGAGGGUGAGAAUCCCGUGCGAUGAGAUGUCCAAUUCUAUGUAAAGUGCUUUCGAAGAGUCGAGUUGUUUGGGAAUGCAGCUCUAAGUGGGUGGUAAAUUCCAUCUAAAGCUAAAUAUUGGCGAGAGACCGAUAGCGAACAAGUACAGUGAUGGAAAGAUGAAAAGAACUUUGAAAAGAGAGUGAAAAAGUACGUGAAAUUGUUGAAAGGGAAGGGCUUGAGAUCAGACUUGGUAUUUUGUGUUCCUUAUUCUUUUUGGAUUUGGUUCCUCACAGCUUACCGGGCCAGCAUCGGUUUGGAUGGUAGGAUAAUGACAUUGGAAUGUAGCUUUGCUUCGGUGAAGUGUUAUAGACUUUGUUGAUACUGCCUAUCUAGACCGAGGACUGCGUCUUUGACUAGGAUGCUGGCGUAAUGAUCUUAAGCCGCCCGUCUUGAAA
rnacentral:rRNA from 1 species